UACGGGAGGCAGCAGUGGGGAAUAUUGCACAAUGGGCGCAAGCCUGAUGCAGCCAUGCCGCGUGUAUGAAGAAGGCCUUCGGGUUGUAAAGUACUUUCAGCGGGGAGGAAGGCGAUGCGGUUAAUAACCGCGUCGAUUGACGUUACCCGCAGAAGAAGCACCGGCUAACUCCGUGCCAGCAGCCGCGGUAAUACGGAGGGUGCAAGCGUUAAUCGAAAUUACUGGGCGUAAAGCGCACGCAGGCGGUCUGUUAAGUCAGAUGUGAAAUCCCCGGGCUUAACCUGGGAACUGCAUUUUGAACUGGCAGGCUUGAGUCUUGUAGAGGGGGUAGAAUUCCAGGUGUAGCGGUGAAAUGCGUAGAGAUCUGGAGGAAUACCGGUGGCGAAGGCGGCCCCUGGGACAAGACUGACGCUCAGGUGCGAAAGCGUGGGGAGCAAACGAGGAUUAGAUACC
rnacentral:rRNA from 1 species